UGACUGUGGCUCAGCGGUAGAGCAUUGCCUCAAGGGUUAAGAGGUUGCUGGUUCAAUCCCAGCCAGAUCAC
rfam:Danio rerio chromosome 4, GRCz11 reference primary assembly.